AGUCGAGCGAGACCUUCGGGUCUAGCGGCGGACGGGUGAGUAACGCGUGGGAACGUGCCCUUUGCUACGGAAUAGUCCCGGGAAACUGGGUUUAAUACCGUAUGUGCCCUUCGGGGGAAAGAUUUAUCGGCAAAGGAUCGGCCCGCGUUGGAUUAGGUAGUUGGUGGGGUAAUGGCCUACCAAGCCGACGAUCCAUAGCUGGUUUGAGAGGAUGAUCAGCCACACUGGGACUGAGACACGGCCCAGACUCCUACGGGAGGCAGCAGUGGGGAAUCUUAGACAAUGGGGGCAACCCUGAUCUAGCCAUGCCGCGUGAGUGAUGAAGGCCUUAGGGUUGUAAAGCUCUUUCAGCUGGGAAGAUAAUGACGGUACCAGCAGAAGAAGCCCCGGCUAACUCCGUGCCAGCAGCCGCGGUAAUACGGAGGGGGCUAGCGUUGUUCGGAAUUACUGGGCGUAAAGCGCACGUAGGCGGACUGGAAAGUUGGGGGUGAAAUCCCGGGGCUCAACCUCGGAACUGCCUUCAAAACUAUCAGUCUGGAGUUCGAGAGAGGUGAGUGGA
rnacentral:rRNA from 1 species